UCUGCCCUAGCGCUUAGAACAGUGCUUGGCACAUAGAAGCCCCAGAUUGGGCCUGAUCUGCUGCCCAGCGGCUUGGAGCCGAAGCACAUGACAACUUAAACUCACCUGGAGGAUUUCUCACCACCCUGGGGGAUGCUCAGGACUCUAAAAAUUCAUUUGGAUGGCUGCUCUUUUGGGAGAUUGUUUUUCCAACAAGGGAAACGUUUAAGAGCUUAGUUAAGCUUGGUCAACACCUCAUGGACUGACCAAACCCGUGAACUGGGAAUGAACUGAAAAUGAUGAAAUCCAGCCUGGGGCAGAUUCAGUGACCCGACGCUGCUACAGGUUGUGAUUCAUGUGCCGGAGUUCUUCUUGGGGGAAGACUCUGAGGUCGCCGGCCCAGCGGGGAAGCUCUGGUGACGGGCGGCUGGCGGAGAGAGGUCUCCUCGGACGGCUGCUCCGGAUUGAACGUGGGGGUCCCGGGGCCUCGGGAUUAAUGGCGGCCUCCACUGAUGGGGAGAAGGAGAGGGCCGGAAGAGAGGUUCGGUCAGCGCCGGGGUGGGAGCGAUCCUGAGAGCCUCCGGACUGGGGGUUCUCCGGUCUGCGACCUGCGGACCAUCUGCGGCCAUGCACAGGACUCAGGUAAACUCUUUCUGUCAUUCAAUCAUCCAUUCAAUCGUAUUUAUUGAGCGC